CUAGCUGGUGCUCAAUCCUCCCAACCAAUCUUUUGGGGCACCGGCGGCCAUCCAAUCUUCCAGGUCUUCCCCUCGCCGGCCCGGCCGCGGCAUCUCGCCUUCCCAGCUCCUCCAGCCCCCAACCACCCCGUCCUGGCCGCCAGCCCCCUCCACGCACCGCAUGUACUAGCAAGCAAGCAACCGCCCGACGGUCGGCAUGGAUCAGGCGCCCCAGGACGUCCUCGCGGAGGUCCUCCGCCGCCUCGCGCCGCGCAGCCUGGCCGCGUGCCGCUGCGUGUGCAAGGGGUGGCGCGCCGUCGUCGACGCCAACCGCCUGCUCCGCGCGGAUCUGCUCCCGCUCACGGUCGACGGCAUCUUCUACGAGACCUGUCCCUAUAACAUACCCAUGCUUUUCUCCAGCCCCGCCACGGGCCGCAGGGUCACCGGUAAGCUCGACUACCUGGACUGGCCGCUGAACGACGUUUUCCCGAUCAUGGACUGCUGCAACGGCCUCCUCCUGAUGUGCGAUCACGUGGUCAACCCCGCCACACGGCAGUGGGUGCGUCUGCCCCCUCUGCCGCCCUCGUGCACGGCCGCAGGCUGCACACGUUGCAGCAACGAGAAUCGCUACCUCGCGUACGAUCCGGCGCUGUCGCCGCACUACGAGGUGUUCUUGAUCCCUAACAUUCCGUUCAAGCUUCCGACGGGGCAUAUCUGUAUGCACAUUUGUGAUGAUGAUGAUGAAUCGGUGUCCGCGAUGGAAUGGCCACCCUCGCCUUACAUCGUGCACGUCUUCUCCUCAAAGACCGGUUGCUGGAAGGAAAGACCCCUUCUUCGGGAAGGGGAGGCCGCGGGAACGGUUGCCGAUGUGAAAGCGGUUUAUCAUACUGUAUCAUUUUUCCUCUACGCCGCCUAUUGGAAGGACGCGCUCUAUGUUCGUUGCGAAGAGGAAUUUCUGAUGAGAAUAAACUUGUUGCAUGAUGGAAAUAAAGGAUAUACUGUGCCUCGCAUAGGAAAAUCAGAGAAGGGGGUGUAUUGUGCAUUCGGUGUCGACCGCAACACAUUUCAGAUUUGGUUCCUUGAUGAAUCGCAUGGUCAGAUGGAGUGGGCACUGAGGAAUGUCAUCGACCUUCAGCGAGUAGUGGAAAUUUAUCCUGCCAACCACGUUGAUGGUCCAUACUGGGUCGUGCAGUCGGAGGAUCAGAUGGAUCUGGUGUUGAAGAAUGGCAUCAAUCUUCAGCCUGCACAUGACAAUGACAAAGCAAUGACGGAAGGCGAUUUUGACUGGGACACUGACAAUGAAUACGUGGUUAGCACAGAUGAUUGGGAUGACAAGGGUGGUUAUCGGGAUUAUUUUUAUUGUCUUGGAUUUCAUCCUUACAAAGAGGUUGUUUUCUUUCAUGGGGCCUUCAGAACAGUGGCCUACAAUUUGAUACCUGCAAAGUUCUAUACUUGGGUGAGAUGAGGUAUGGAUAUGACGAGCUACAAGAGUCCUUUUCAUACGCCUCAUGUUGGAUGAGGAACUUACCAGGAAGCAACUGAUAUGGAAACCCUUUGAUUAUAUUUUUGUUUGCACCAAAUGCCCUGUAGUUCCAGCAGCUCUCCCUGGUCUCCAAUAUUUUUUCACUUACUCAGAAGGGAUAUGGUCUGAUGUUGUCAAGGGAUUUUAUUUUCGACUGCAGCUUUUAAUAUUCAGUACCAAAGAUAAAGAAGGGUGCCCUGGUUUGUUGUAUCUUGUAUGGUCUACUAUGGUCUGUACUGUGGGAUGAAGUUAGUUACUUUUAUUCUUAUGCUGGUUACUCAUGUACAUGCAUGUUUCGUGAGUUAUCAUGACACCCUGUUAGCGUAUAUUCAAGAAGUAACAUUAUACUUUUAUAUUCACUGGUUUCAGUUUGUUCAA